rnacentral:rRNA from 1 species
GACGAACGCUGGCGGCGUGCUUAACACAUGCAAGUCGAACGGAAAGGCCCUGCUUGCAGGGUACUCGAGUGGCGAACGGGUGAGUAACACGUGGGUGAUCUGCCCUGCACUUCGGGAUAAGCCUGGGCAACUGGGUCUAAUACCGGAUAGGAGCCAUUUUUAGUGUGAUGGUUGGAAAGUUUUUUCGGUGUAGGAUGAGCUCGCGGCCUAUCAGCUUGUUGGUGGGGUAAUGGCCUACCAAGGCGGCGACGGGUAGCCGGCCUGAGAGGGUGGACGGCCACAUUGGGACUGAGAGACGGCCCAGACGCCUACGGGAGGCAGCAGUGGGGAAUAUUGCACAAUGGGCGCAAGCCUGAUGCAGCGACGCCGCGGGGGGGAGGACGGCCUUCGGGUUGUAAACUCCUUUCGCUAGGGACGAAGCUUUUUGUGACGGUACCUAGAUAAGAAGCACCGGCUAACUACGUG